UACGUAGGGCGCAAGCGUUGUCCGGAAUUAUUGGGCGUAAAGAGCUCGUAGGCGGUUUGUCGCGUCUGCUGUGAAAACUCGAGGCUCAACCUCGGGCUUGCAGUGGGUACGGGCAGACUAGAGUGCGGUAGGGGAGACUGGAAUUCCUGGUGUAGCGGUGGAAUGCGCAGAUAUCAGGAGGAACACCGAUGGCGAAGGCAGGUCUCUGGGCCGCAACUGACGCUGAGGAACGAAAGCAUGGGGAGCGAACAGG
rnacentral:rRNA from 1 species